rnacentral:lncRNA from 1 species
CUAGCCCCUCUCCUCCCUCAUGGAGUGAAGCCACCCCUCACCUCCAGGUGGCCAGCCAGGGCUCCAGGCCAGCCUCAUGGUGCACAGAGGGAAGGGGUGCCCAGUGACCACUGGUCCUGGAGGUUCUGUGUCCUUACCUGACCCCACACAGACCCAGGCAGGCUGGGGGUAGAAGCUCAUGCAGGAACUAAACACUAAGCUCAACAACUUCACAGUCGCCGUAGCAGGUCAGAGCCAAAGAAGCUAGGGCCAGAGAGUUCUGGAAGGGGGAGAAGUGGCUCCAGGUGACUGGUCACUUCUGCUCUGUGCCCGACAUCAUCAGCCCUUCUUGCCAAAAAGGAGCAUCUGCUGAAACAGACCUGGAUCAUCGAAAACACACCUUUGGAAAUUACAUUAGGAUUCUCACUUGUGCCAAUGCUAUGUAUGCCAGGCACUUUUGCCUAAUCAAGUGUUUUCUCUGAGAAGGAAAAGAAAACUCCACACAUCUUAAAAUACUCUCCAAUAUUUACUUUUUGAUUAUAUAAAUUCCUUUUAAAAAGUAGUAUUAAAAACAAAACCAUUCAGGUUAAUUUGUAUGGAAAGAGA